rnacentral:rRNA from 1 species
AUGCGGUCCCUCGAAGCCGAGCUCGGCGUCGCAGCGGCGCCGGCGCCCGCUGCGGCGGAGGACGGCGAGAGCACGGCGGACGGGCCGAUGAGGGACUACGACGACGGGGAGCUGGAGGAGAUGCUGUCGGAGCUGGGCGGUAGCCUGGGGGCCGAGGCGCCGUCGUUGGCCGCCGUGCUGCCGUUGGAGUACUGGGAGGAGGUGCCGCCGGUGAUGGGCAGCGACAUGGGCGGCUGGUACGUCGACGGCGAGGGCUUCGUGGCAGGGUACGAGUUCAGGGAACCAUCCUACUACACCUAUGGUGAGGUCUCCGCCGUUGAGCAGGUGUACAGCCCCCUGUGCCUGUGGGAGUGA